AUGAACGCUGGCGGCGUGCCUAAUACAUGCAAGUCGUACGAGGGAAGUCCAGCUUGCUGGACGGAACGAGUGGCGAACGGGUGAGUAAUACGUAAGCAACCUGCCUGCAAGGACUGGGAUAACACCUGGAAACGGGCGCUAAUACCGGAUAGGUAACAAAGGGGCAUCCCUAUGUUAUUAAAGGUUGGAAACACAAGCAGAUGGGCUUACGGUGCAUUAGCUAGUUGGUGAGGUAACGGCCCACCAAGGCGAUGAUGCAUAGCCGGCCUGAGAGGGUGAACGGCCACAUUGGGACUGAGACACGGCCCAGACUCCUACGGGAGGCAGCAGUAGGGAAUUUUCGGCAAUGGACGAAAGUCUGACCGAGCAACGCCCGCGUGAGUGAAGAAGGUUUUCGGAUUGUAAAGCUCUGUUGUAAGGGAAGAACAGCACGGAAAGAAUCCGUGAAUGACGGUACCUUACCAGAAAGCCACGGCUAACUACGUGCCAGCCGCCGC
rnacentral:rRNA from 1 species